ACUGCCUUAUAGAAGCAUUGCAGGUGUUGUUGCUUUGUCACAUGACUGUCAGUAGGUGGCAGAAAAGAGAGACACUACAUCUGUUCAGUAUUUUGAUCUGUGAAUGUCUGACUGGUAAGUAGCCUAUCAUU